AUGCCCUACACAGAUGCCGUCAUCCAUGAAAUACAGAGAUACAGAGACUGGGCACAGACGUAUUUCCCCUGCCUGGCUCUGUCCUCAAAGACCCCAAAUACUUCCGCUAGCCAGAAGCCUUCUAUCCCCAGCACUUUCCGGAUGAGCUGGGCCGCUUCAAGAAGAAUGGAGCCUUUGUGCCUUUUUCCUCUGGUAGGUUUCUCUGGUCUGACUCCCCCCAGGCAUGUGCUAAAUCCACCCCCCAGCCACUGGUCUGUAUUUGAGGUCAAAGUCAUAAUGUGAAUUUGAAGGUUAUAUCUUAGAACCAUAAAGUUUUAGAAUCCCAGAAUUAGUAAAUAUUGGAACGAUUAUCCCUGAUAAUUAGAAAAAAAGUUAGGAUGGCAAUAGCACUAAACAGGGCAUAAACCAACUGGCUGUUAAGAAGAAAAUAAGAUAUAUUUUCUAUGUUUCCAGGCAGAUAGCCUCUGAACCUUUGCCAUUGAUCUACAAAAGCAGCCAUAGACAAUAUGUAAAUGAAUGAGCAUGUGUGUGAGCCUGAAAAACUGUUUAUGGACAAUGAAAUUUGAAUUUUGUUUUAUCUUCAUAUAUCACAAAAAAGUCUUUUUUCCCCAACCAUUUUAAAAUGCCAAAAGCAUUCCUAGUUUGCAGGCUGUAUGAACACAAGCAGCAGGGCAAAUUUGCCCAACAGACAGUCAUUUGCCUACUCAUGGCAAAAAAUCUUUAUGCAGCAACAUUUUAAGUAUAUAUUGGUGGGGCACAAUGGCUCACACCUGUAAUCCCAGCACUUUGGGAGGCCAAGACAGGUAGAGCACUUGAGGCCAGGAGUUCGAGACCAGCCUGGCCAACAUGGUGAAACCCUAUCGCUACUAAAAAUACAAAAAUUAGCCAGGCAUGGUGGCCUGCGUCUCUAAUCCCAGCUACUCGGGAGGCUGAGGCACAAAAAUCACUUGAACCCGGGAGAUGA
rnacentral:lncRNA from 1 species